GGGUGCAUAGCGCAGUGGUAGCGCGCAUGCUUUGCAAGUGCUUGUGUAAUCACAGCCACCGUGUAUGAGGUCCAGGGUUCAAUCCCCUGUGCAUCCA
rfam:Paxillus rubicundulus Ve08.2h10 scaffold_62_c1, whole genome shotgun sequence.